AUCUGUAUGUGUGUCAGUGUUUGUAUCUGUGUAUCUGCAUGUGUGACACUCACAGACACACAUGCAGAUACAUGCAGAUACAUAGACACACAGAUACAAUAAAUGACACACGUAAAUAUACAGACAUACAGAUACAAACACUGACACACAUGCAGAU